CAGCAGUGAGGAAUAUUGGUCAAUGGGCGAGAGCCUGAACCAGCCAAGUAGCGUGCAGGAUGACGGCCCUAUGGGUUGUAAACUGCUUUUAUGCGGGGAUAAAGUGCGUGACGUGUCAUGCAUUGCAGGUACCGCAUGAAUAAGGACCGGCUAAUUCCGUGCCAGCAGCCGCGGUAAUACGGAAGGUCCGGGCGUUAUCCGGAUUUAUUGGGUUUAAAGGGAGCGUAGGCCGCCAGAUAAGCGUGUUGUGAAAUGUACCGGCUCAACCGGUGAAUUGCAGCGCGAACUGUUUGGCUUGAGUGCACGGUAAGCAGGCGGAAUUCAUGGUGUAGCGGUGAAAUGCUUAGAUAUCAUGAAGAACUCCGAUUGCGAAGGCAGCUUGCUGCAGUGCGACUGACGCUGAUGCUCGAAGGUGCGGGUAUCAAACAGGAUUAGA
rnacentral:rRNA from 1 species